rnacentral:rRNA from 1 species
GAUGAACGCUGGCGGCGUGCUUAACACAUGCAAGUCGAACGGGAAACAUUUUAUUGAAGCUUCGGCAGAUUUAGCUUGUUUCUAGUGGCGGACGGGUGAGUAACGCGUGGGUAACCUGCCUCACACUGGGGGAUAACAGUCAGAAAUGGCUGCUAAUACCGCAUAAGCGCACGGGACCGCAUGGUUUUGUGUGAAAAACUCCGGUGGUAUAAGAUGGACCCGCGUUGGAUUAGCUGGUUGGUGGGGUAACGGCCCACCAAGGCGACGAUCCAUAGCCGGCCUGAGAGGGUGAACGGCCACAUUGGGACUGAGACACGGCCCAG